GGUAUGAAACUUCCUUGAAUUUUGAGUAGGGAUCACGUGACCUACCCAAUAUGGCUGCCUGCCGAAAUUACCCGAAUGGAUCCGUAAAAACCGAUUCAGUCCAAAACGAAUUUGACAAUUUUGACAUUAGUGGUAUGUGUUUGACGGAUAAUACAAUUAUGAUGGUAAAUUACAAAUUUCGUUUUGAAUGUUUGAAAUUAAAACUUUAUUACCUAGAUGAAUUGCUUUUUCAGGUCCCUGUUUGAUGAAAGGCUGAAAACAAACAAAAAAUUGGAUUUAGGAUUCAAGCCCCAGGUAACCGAGGAGAAUUUAUUUGAGUAAGAAACAGAGCUUAUUCAUGGUAAAUUACAAAUUUCGUUUUGAAUGUUAGAAAUUAAAACUUUAUUACCUAGAUGAAUUGCUUUUUCAGGUCCCUGUUUGAUGAAAGGCUGAAAUAAACAAAAAAUUGGAUUUAAGCUCCAGGUA